UGGGGAAUAUUGCGCAAUGGGCGAAAGCCUGACGCAGCAACGCCGCGUGAGUGAUGAAGGCCUUCGGGUCGUAAAGCUCUGUCGGAGGGAACGAAUGCUCUUGAGGUUAACAGCCUCGGGAGGUGACGGUACCCUCAAAGGAAGCACCGGCUAACUCUGUGCCAGCAGCCGCGGUAAUACAGAGGGUGCAAGCGUUGUUCGGAAUCAUUGGGCGUAAAGGGCGUGUAGGCGGUAUGUUAAGUCAUGUGUGAAAUCCCUCGGCUCAACCGGGGAACGACGCAUGAAACUAGCAAGCUAGAGUACCAAAGAGGGUGGUGGAAUUCCCGGUGUAGCAGUGAAAUGCGUAGAGAUGUGGAGGAACACCGAUGGCGAAGGCAGCCCCCUGGGCCAACACUGACGCUCAGGCACGAAAGCGUGGGGAGCAAACAGGAUUAGAUACCCAUGUAGUCCCUGAGCGGGCUGGCAAGGCGCAU
rnacentral:rRNA from 1 species